GGGAGCAAUGCACCUUUCGCAUUUUCUCCCUCCAGAUGGAAGAACCAUAACAGAUCGAAAAGGCAGCGGGACAGGGGGGAAAGACUGAUGUGAAAGGAGAUUUCUAGAAGGACAAGAAGAUAAACGCACUCUUGGAAAAAACAACCAAUGGAAGAGGUGAAAAUAAGCUGUUCAAAAGUCCUUGCAAUGAUCCGUUUUGCAAACGUUUAUUCGUUGUGAAAAGGGACAUUCUGGAAACUAUGAAUCAAGGAUAGCAGUACAGUCACAUUUAACAGCUGCAUGGCUGUCCAAAGCGCAAACAUGAAAGGAUGACAUGGAAAUCAGAACAGCCGACUGAAAGACCACUGCUUUCUCACGCUCAUAUAGAUGGAGAGACAGUGCUUGUGAACGAUGUAUACUGGAAGAGAGAUGAACAUUAGGUAGCGUCGGUAAAUAUCCAAGGAAACUGGAAGGAAAGUGGACAGUAAAGAAUAGCUGGUGGGGAGCUGUCAAAAGGAUGGAUUUUAGCGUACUACGGAAUCUCAUCAGUAGAUACUGUGCUGGGGAGGAGUACUGGGUGGACAGCCGGACAGUAUACAUCGGUCACAAAGAACCCCCGCUGGGGGCUGAUGCCUACAUCCCUCAGCGUUAUCCCGACAACCGCAUUGUCUCUUCCAAGUACACCUUAUGGAACUUCAUCCCCAAGAACCUGUUUGAACAGUUCAGAAGAAUCGCCAACUUCUACUUCCUGCUCAUCUUCCUGGUCCAGCUCAUCAUAGACACGCCCACCAGCCCCGUCACCAGCGGACUGCCUCUAUUCUUUGUCAUCACCGUCACUGCCAUUAAACAGGGUUAUGAAGACUGGCUGAGACACAAGGCAGACUGCAGUAUAAAUGAGUGUCCUGUGGACGUGGUGAAGGAAGGGACGGUGGUGAGGACACAGAGUCACAAGCUACGGGUGGGGGACGUUGUCAUGGCGAGGGAAGACGAGACGUUCCCCUGUGACCUCAUCCUGCUCUCAUCCAGCCGCGAUGACGGAACUUGCUACGUCACCACCACCAGCCUGGAUGGCGAGUCCAGCCACAAAACCUACUAUGCUGUACCCGACACCAUGGUCUUUAAGACAGAGCAGGAGGUGGACUCUCUACAUGCGACUAUUGAAUGUGAACAACCACAGCCUGACCUCUACAAAUUUGUGGGGCGCAUCAAUAUUUAUAAGGAAAGUGAAGAUCCCAUAGCCAGACCCCUGGGAGCUGAGAACCUUCUCCUCAGAGGAGCCACCCUGAAGAACACAGAACACAUUUAUGCUGUAGCCAUCUACACGGGCAUGGACACCAAGAUGACGCUGAACUACCAGUCCAAAUCCCAGAAACGCUCCGCUGUAGAAAAGUCUAUGAAUGCAUUCCUCAUAGUGUAUCUGUGUAUCCUGAUCAGUAAAGCGGUCAUUAACACAGUUCUGAAGUACGCGUGGCAGAGGUCUGCUGACCACGACCAGCCCUGGUACAACCACAGGACCGAGAUCGACAGAGAACGCCACGUGGUGAUCAGGGCGUUCACAGACUUCCUGGCCUUCAUGGUGUUGUUUAACUACAUCAUUCCAGUCUCCAUGUACGUUACCGUGGAGAUGCAGAAGUUCCUGGGGUCUUACUUCAUAGUCUGGGACAAGGAUAUGUACGAUGAUGAGCUGGGGGAGGGGGCUCAGGUCAACACAUCAGACCUCAAUGAAGAGCUGGGACAGGUGGAGUAUGUGUUUACUGAUAAGACGGGCACGUUGACAGAGAACAACAUGGAGUUUAUAGAGUGCUGUGUGGACGGACUCGUGUAUAUCCCCCACGCCAUCUGUAAUGGACAGAUCCUCAGUGCUGCUUCCAGUAUAGACAUGAUCGACUCCUCACCUGGAGGAGACCACAGGGAGCAUGAGGAGCUGUUCUUUCGGGCUCUGUGUCUGUGCCACACGGUGCAGGUGAAGGAGGAGGAGACAGUGGACAGCAUCAAGAGAGGGAUCCACCAGGGAAAACCCACCUCUUUCUACAUAUCAUCUUCUCCUGAUGAGGUGGCAUUGGUGGAGGGCAUGAAGAGGUUGGGGUACACAUAUCUAAGACUCAAAGACCGUCAUAUGGAGAUUCUCAAUAAGGAGGAUGAGAUUGAGAGGUUUGAGCUGCUACACGUGCUGAACUUUGACUCUGUCAGGAGGAGAAUGAGCGUCAUUGUCAAGUCUAGUGCAGGGGAGUACCUGUUGUUCUGUAAGGGGGCUGACUCCUCCAUCUUCCCCAGAGUGGUGUCAGGGAAGGUGGGGCAGGUGCGGGCGCGGGUGGAGCAGAACGCUCUGGAGGGCUUGCGGACCCUGUGUGUGGCAUACAGAAGUCUCUCCCUAGCAGAGUACGAGGAGGCGUGUCAUCAGCUGAGCGACGCCAAGCUAGCCCUGCAGGACAGGGAGCAGCGACUGGCGCAGGCUUAUGACCUCAUCGAGAGGGACUUCACCCUGCUGGGGGCCACGGCUGUGGAGGACAGGCUCCAGGAGAAGGCAGCAGACACCAUUGAGUCUCUCCAUAAGGCUGGGAUGAAGGUGUGGGUCCUGACGGGGGACAAGAUGGAGACGGCGGCUGCUACAUGUUAUGCUAGCAAGCUGUUCCGCCGCUCCACCCAAAUAUUGGAGCUGACCAAGAAACGAACCGAGGAACAGAGUCUACAUGAUGUUCUGUUUGACCUGAGCAGAACCGUACUGAGACAGCGCUCCCUGUCGCGGCUGUCUGUAGACUGUCAGGACUACGGUCUGAUCAUCGAUGGGGCCACCCUGUCUGCGGUGCUGAAGCCCAGUCCAGAGAGUUCUGGCUCUGGGAACUACAGAGAGAUCUUCCUGGAGAUCUGUAGGAACUGCAGCGCCGUUCUCUGCUGCCGCAUGGCGCCCCUACAGAAAGCACAGAUUGUGAAGCUGAUCAAGGCGUCUAAGGAGCACCCCAUCACUCUGGCCAUCGGAGACGGAGCCAACGACGUCAGCAUGAUCCUCGAGGCACAUGUGGGCAUAGGCAUCAUGGGUAAGGAGGGUCGCCAGGCAGCGAGGAACAGCGACUAUGCCAUCCCAAAGUUCAAACACCUGAAGAAGAUGCUGCUAGUUCACGGCCACAUCUACUACAUCCGCAUCGCUGAGCUGGUGCAGUACUUCUUCUAUAAGAAUGUGUGCUUCAUCUUCCCUCAGUUCCUCUAUCAGUUCUUCUGUGGAUUCUCUCAGCAGCCCCUGUACGACACAGCCUACCUGACACUGUACAACAUCAGCUUCACCUCCCUGCCCAUCCUCCUCUACAGCCUCUUAGAGAAACACGUCAGCAUAGAGACACUGAAGAGCGACCCCACUCUGUACAGAGACGUAGCUAAGAACUCUCUCCUGCGCUGGCCCGUGUUCCUGUACUGGACAUGCCUGGGCUUAUUCGACGCCUGUAUCUUCUUUUUUGGUGCCUACUUCCUGUUCGACAACACCACCUUCACUAGCAACGGACAGCUUAUGACCACCAACACACAGAUGAUGUUUGGGAACUGGACUUUCGGGACUCUCGUCUUUACUGUGCUGGUGUUCACGGUCACGCUCAAGCUUGCCUUGGACACACACCACUGGACCUGGAUCAACCACUUUGUCAUCUGGGGCUCCCUGCUUUUCUAUGUCAUCUUCUCUCUGCUCUGGGGAGGCAUCAUCUGGCCUUUCCUGAACUACCAGAGGAUGUACUAUGUGUUCAUGCAGAUGUUGUCCAGCGGUCCGGCUUGGCUAGGCAUCAUCCUGCUGAUUAUGGUCAGCCUGCUGCCUGAUGUGGUCAAGAAGGUCCUCUGCAGAACACUGUGGCCCACCGCCACCCAUCUUGCACAGUCCAAUCGCCCGUGCCUUACCGUGGAGCCGUCCACCAUCUUCGUGCUUUCUCAGUCCGAUAGCAGAUUGAGUUUCUGAUUGGCCGAGAGACGUCAGAGGAGGAGUGUUCCCAUCCAGGGCUCUCACCAUCCAGGGCUCUCACCAUCCAGGGCUCUCACCAUCCAGGACUCUCACCAUCCAGGGCUCUCACCAUCCAGGGCUCUCACAGGGCUCUCACAGGGCUCUCACCAUCCAGGGUUCUCACCAUCCAGGGCUCUCACCAUCCAGGGCUCUCACCAUCCAGGGCUCUCACAGGGCUCUCACAGGGCUCUCACCAUCCAGGGCUCUCACCAUCCAGGGCUCUCACCAUCCAGGGCUCUCACCAUCCAGGGCUCUCACAGGGCUCUCACCAUCCAGGGCUCUCACCAUCCAGGGCUCUCACCAUCCAGGGCUCUCACCAUUCAGGGCUCUCACCAUCCAGGGCUCUCACCAUCCAGGGCUCUCACCAUCCAGGGCUCUCACCAUCCAGGGCUCUCACAGGGCUCUCACCAUUCAGGGCUCUCACCAUCCAGGGCUCUCACCAUCCAGGGCUCUCACCAUCCAGGGCUCUCACCAUUCAGGGCUCUCACCAUUCAGGGCUCUCACCAUCCAGGGCUCUCACCAUCCAGGGCUCUCACCAUUCAGGGCUCUCACCAUCCAGGGCUCUCACCAUCCAGGGCUCUCACCAUUCAGGGCUCUCACCAUCCAGGGCAUCCAUUUCAAACAAUUCAACUCAAUUACCAGACAAUACUAUCAUUCACACUGCUAUAUACAGUGGGGAGAACAAGUAUUUGAUACACUGCCGAUUUUGCAGGUUUUCCUACUUACAAAGCAUGUAGAGGUCUGUAAUUUUUAUCAUAGGUACACUUCAACUGUGAGAGAUGGAAUCUAAAACAAAAAUACAGCGACAGCCCCGAAACCUGAAGGAUCUGGAGAAGGUCUGUAUGGAGGAGUGGGCCAAAAUCCCUGCUGCAGUGUGUGCAAACCUGGUCAAGAACUACAUGAAACGUGUGAUCUCUGUAAUUGCAAACACAGGUUUCUGUACCAAAUAUUAAGUUCAAACAAAGGUUUCUGUACCAAAUAUUAAGUUAUGCUUUUGUGAUGUAUCAAAUACUUAUGUAUAAUGUGAUUUUCUGGAUUUUUGUUUUAGAUUCCGUCUCUCACAGUUGAAGUCUACCUAUGAUAAAAAUUACAGACCUCUACAUGCUUCGACGUUGACAAGCUGUUGCAGGGCAGUGUAGCAGAGUUGACCCCCGUGCUCCCAUGCCCUUCUGGCCCUUCCUCCAAAUGGAAGUGUACU